CCUACGGGGGGCAGCAGUGGGGAAUAUUGCACAAUGGGCGCAAGCCUGAUGCAGCCAUGCCGCGUGUGUGAAGAAGGCUUUCGGGUUGUAAAGCACUUUCAGCGGGGAGGAACGCGGUGAGGUUAAUAAGCUCAUCGAUUGACGUUACCCGCAGAAGAAGCACCGGCUAACUCCGUGCCAGCAGCCGCGGUAAUACGGAGGGUGCAAGCGUUAAUCGGAAUUACUGGGCGUAAAGCGCACGCAGGCGGUCUGUCAAGUCGGAUGUGAAAUCCCCGGGCUCAACCUGGGAACGGCAUUCGAAACUGGCAGGCUAGAGUCUUGUAGAGGGGAGUAGAAUUCCAGGUGUAGCGGUGAAAUGCGUAGAGAUCUGGAGGAAUACCGGUGGCGAAGGCGGCCCCCUGGACAAAGACUGACGCUCAGGUGCGAAAGCGUGGGGAGCAAACAGGAUUAGAUACCCCAGUAGUC
rnacentral:rRNA from 1 species